rnacentral:lncRNA from 1 species
UUAAUAGUUAGAUUCCGGUAUUAAACUUCAAAAUAUCUGUAACUUUGAACAAUAGGUUGAGUAUUUUAGGAAAACUAAAGUAGAUAAAGGUAAUGUAUUUAGAAAAACAUUGACCAAACAAAUUCUUCAAAUAGGUCAACAUAUGAAAAAUACGAAAAUAUGGGUCGAUUGCCAAUGAACCAACUCUCAACAAGAGACUAUAUAUAUGACUAGUAUAUACUUUGCUAUACACUUUAUGAUUGUUACCCGUUUCAUGUUUCUACGUUAAUUAUAUUUUUCGGUGAACUAUUUUCUAUAUAUAAGACAAUCAUGUAAGACAUGUAAGGUUGUCACUAGUAUGUGUUCUAAUGUGCACAUGCUUAAUCAUUUGUUCUAUCAGACCCUUUUUUAUUUUCAUAAUAAAACAUCUUUAUUAGAUUAUCAUGAAGUUAUAAGCAAUUGUGUUUUCAAAUAGUUAUUCUGAAUCCUCUAUAUCACACAUCACAUUUAGAUGUUUAAUCGCUAGUGUGUGUUUUCGUGUGCCUUUGUAGAGCUUCUUUUCGACCAAACUCUUGACCACACACGUCACAUUUUUUAUGUUUGUCUCCAGUGUGUAUUCUCAUGUGUCUAUUAUAGGCACCUUGACCACUAAAUUCUUUACCGCACACAUCGCACUUGUACGGUUUAUCAUCAGUAUGUGUUCUCAUGUGUUUCUGAAGAUAAUCAACCCGACAAAAUGUUUUGUCGCACACACCACAUUUAAAAGGUUUAUCACCAGUAUGAAACCUCAUGUGUAUACGCAAAUUAUGAUUAUCAAUAAACUGUUUACCACAUACAUCACAUGAACACGGUUUAUUACUUGAGUGUAUUGUUACGUGGCUUUGAAGAACAUAUCUUCGACUAAAUUCUUUUCCACAUACACCACAUUUAUAAGGUUUAUCACCAGUAUGCUUUCUCGUGUGUCUCUGUAAGCUGAAAAGAUGUCUAAAUCCUUUACCACAUAUAUCACAUUUGUAAGGUUUAUCGUCAGUAUGUGUUCUCGAGUCUGUACGAUAGGCAUUGUGAUCACUUAACAAAUUACCAAAUGAAGGUUUAUCAUCACUAUGCGUUCUCGAGUCUGUACGAUAGGCAUUGUGAUCACUUAACAAAUUACCAAAUGAAGGUUUAUCAUCACUAUGUGUUCUCGAGUCUGUACGAUAGGCAUUGUGAUCACUUAACAAAUUACCAAAUAAAGGUUUAUCACCUGUUUGUGUUCUCAAGUGAUUUUGAAAGCUACUAUUACCAAGGAUACCAGAUUGAUCAGGUUUAUCGCCAGUGUGUGCUCUCGUGUGUUUUCGUAAAGUAUUUAAAUGUCCUAAUCUUUUACCACAUAUAUCACAUUUAUAAGGUUUAUCGCCAGUGUGUGUUCUCUUGUGUUUUUGAACGCUACUAAGCAGACUAAACCUUUUAUGACAUAUAUCACAUUCAUAGGGUUUAUCGCCAGUAUGUGUUCUCAUAUGAUACUGCAUGUAACAAUGAUGCAUAAACCUUUUACCGCAUAUAUCACAUGCAUGUGGUUUAUCUCCAGUGUGUAUUUUCAUGUGCUUGUUCAAGUUACCAAGCUGAUUGAACGCUUUAUCACAUAUAUUACACCGAUGAGGUUUAUCAUAGGGUUUAUCGCCAGCAUGUGUUCUCAUAUGAUACUGCAUGUAACAAUGAUGAAUAAACCUUUUACCACAUAUAUCACAUACAUGAGGUUUAUCUUCAGUGUGUAUUUUCAUGUGUUUGCUCAAGUUACCAAGCUUCUUGAACGCUUUAUCACAUAUAUAACAUUGAUGCGGUUUGUCGGUGUGUACAAUCCUGUGUUUUUGCAAGUUUUCAAGCUGAUUAAAUGUUUCAUCACAUAUGUCACAUUGAUGAGUGUUAUCACCAGUGGUCGUUCUCAUGUGAUUUUCUAUGUUCCAGCUCUCUAGAUACGUGUCCCCACAUUCUUCAUUCGAAAAUUUAGUAUCCGUCAUGUCAGUAUGUAUUCUUUUAAAGAUGUAAAGUGUUUCUUCUAGAAUCGCUUGUGAAUGCUGGAACUAGUAUAAUAGUCCCAGAUGUAAAGCAUUAUUAAGGUGUACUAUUUUUAUGAGUACCAGGUUGACAAACCUGUUUGUAUAAGUAUGUGAGUAUUCACUUCCGAUUGACAUACCCUAGAUGUAUGAGUUGUCGCUCAAUAUGACUUCUUGCUCAAUUUAGACACAUUAUUUCAUUUGAAUGACUUCUUGCUCCAGACUGACAUAUCAUUGGUAAGAGUUCUCGCUCCAGAUUGACAUAUUCUUUGUAUGAGUAGUACUCGCCCGAUG